GCGGGGAGCUGAAAACUCUCGUUUAGUGCCAGCUGAAGCAGAAGGCGAAUGGAAAGGAAAUGUGUAAUCCCAAACUGCAGCUCCUGAAACAGAUGGAGCUGAAGAUGACUUCACAGAGAAGAAUCAGACUCUUCUGCACCUGGGGAGCUCAGCAAAGUAGAGGCAUUGUAGCAGUGUCCUACCACUGCUGCUUUGUGCGGCAACAAGAGUUUGUGAUCCCUCUGCUCUGCUGCAGCUCCAGCUGCAAAGAAAUGAGCUCCUUGAUGUGAAGACCUGCUCAGACCUUCCCAUGACUUGCAGCCCCAAUAGUCACUUCAGCCUCCAUCAGUCUCCUGUUUUUGUUGUUGCUGCUUCUUUGGAGGGGUGUGGGAGAAGUCAACACUCAUGUAUGAAAACAGAACUCACUUUAUGUUACAUCAGUAGCCUAUUGACAUGGA